ACUAACAAGGAUUCCCCUAGUAACGGCGAGUGAAGAGGGAAGAGCCCAAGAUUGAAAGCUGGCGCCUUCGGCGUCCGCAUUGUAAUCUCAAGAAGUGUUUUCCGCUUCGGACCAUGCCUAAGUCCCUUGGAAAAGGGCAUCAUAGAGGGUGAUAAUCCCGUACAUGGCAUGGAGCGCCCGAAGCUUUGUGAUACGCUUUCUAAGAGUCGAGUUGUUUGGGAAUGCAGCUCAAAAUGGGUGGUAAAUGCCAUCUAAGGCUAAAUAUUGGGGAGAGACCGAUAGCGAACAAGUACAGUGAUGGAAAGAUGAAAAGAACUUUGAAAAGAGAGUUAAACAGUACGUGAAAUUGCCAAAAGGGAAGGGUAGGAGGUCAGAGAUGCGUCGCAGGAUUCAGCCUUGCUUUUGCUUGGUGUUUUUCCUGCGUUGCAGGCCAACGUCGGUUUUGGGCACUGGAGAAGGGUAGGAGGAACGUGGCACCUCUCGGGGUGUGUUAUAGCCUCCUACUGGAUACAGCGACCGAGACCGAGGAACGCAGCGUACUCGUAAGAGCGGGCCUUUUGGCACCUUUACGCUUAGGGCGUUGGCAUAAUGGCCCUCUACCACCCGUCUU
rnacentral:rRNA from 1 species